ACACAUGCAAGUCGAACGGAGCUUAAAGAGCUUGCUUUUUAAGCUUAGUGGCGAACGGGUGAGUAACGCGUGAGUAACCUGCCCUGGAGUGGGGGACAACAGUUGGAAACGACUGCUAAUACCGCAUAAGCCCACGGAUUCGCAUGGAUCUGCGGGAAAAGGAUUUAUUCGCUUCAGGAUGGACUCGCGUCCAAUUAGCUAGUUGGUGAGGUAACGGCCCACCAAGGCGACGAUUGGUAGCCGGACUGAGAGGUUGAACGGCCACAUUGGGACUGAGACACGGCCCAGACUCCUACGGGAGGCAGCAGUGGGGGAUAUUGCACAAUGGGGGAAACCCUGAUGCAGCGACGCCGCGUGGAGGAAGAAGGUUUUCGGAUUGUAAACUCCUGUCGUUAGGGACGAUAAUGACGGUACCUAACAAGAAAGCACCGGCUAACUACGUGCCAGCAGCCGCGGUAAAACGUAGGGUGCAAGCGUUGUCCGGGAUUACUGGGUGUAAAGGGAGCGCAGGCGGACCGGCAAGUUGGAAGUGAAAACUAUGGGCUCAACCCAUAAAUUGCUUUCAAAACUGCUGGCCUUGAGUAGUGCAGAGGUAGGUGGAAUUCCCGGUGUAGCGGUGGAAUGCGUAGAUAUCGGGAGGAACACCAGUGGCGAAGGCGACCUACUGGGCACCAACUGACGCUGAGGCUCGAAAGCAUGGGUAGCAAACAGGAUUAGAUACCCUGGUAGUCCAUGCCGUAAACGAUGAUUACUAGGUGUUGGAGGAUUGACCCCUUCAGUGCCGCAGUUAACACAAUAAGUAAUCCACC
rnacentral:rRNA from 1 species